CACGGAUCCAGAGUUUGAUUAUGGCUCAGGACAAACGCUGGCGGCAUGCCUAACACAUGCAAGUCGAACGGACAAGUUAGUAGAAAUUUUUCGGAAUGGAAGCUAAUGCGUUAGUGGCGGAUGGGUGAGUAACGCGCGGAUAACCUGCCUCUAAAUGGGGAAUAACUACGAGAAAUCGUAGCUAAUACCGCAUAAUAUCUCUUUAUUGCAUGAUAGAGAGAGGAAAGACGGCCUUAGCGCUGUCGUUUAGAGAUGGAUCCGCGUCUGAUUAGCUAGUUGGUGAGGUAAGGGCUCACCAAGGCGACGAUCAGUAGCCGGCCUGAGAGGGUGAACGGCCACAUUGGGACUGAGACACGGCCCAAACUCCUACGGGAGGCAGCAGUGGGGAAUCUUCCGCAAUGGGCGCAAGCCUGACGGAGCAAUGCCGCGUGAGUGAAGAAGGCCUUCGGGUUGUAAAGCUCUGUCCUUAUCGAAGAGAGAGAAGAGUAGUAACUGACUUUUCUAGGACGGUAGACGAGGAGGAAGCCCCGGCUAACUAUGUGCCAGCAGCCGCGGUAAAACAUAGGGGGCAAGCGUUGUCCGGAAUCACUGGGCGUAAAGGGCGCGCAGGCGGUUUAUUAAGUCAGGUGUGAAAGUUCGGGGCUCAACCCCGUGAUUGCACCUGAUACUGAUAGACUAGAGUGUUGGAGAGGUAAGUGGAAUUCCUAGUGUAGCGGUGGAAUGCGUAGAUAUUAGGAGGAACACCAGUGGCGAAGGCGACUUACUGGCCAAUAACUGACGCUGAGGCGCGAAAGCGUGGGGAGCAAACAGGAUUAGAUACCCUGGUAGUCCACGCCGUAAACGAUGAGUACUAGGUGUUGGUUGUUUCGAUACAAUCGGUGCCGUAGUUAACACAAUAAGUACUCCGCCUGGGGAGUACGGUCGCAAGACUGAAACUCAAAGGAAUUGACGGGGGCCCGCACAAGCGGUGGAGCAUGUGGUUUAAUUCGACGCAACGCGAAGAACCUUACCAAGACUUGACAUCCUCUUGACCGGAUAUGUAAUGUAUCCCUUUCUUCGGAACAAGAGAGACAGGUGGUGCAUGGUUGUCGUCAGCUCGUGUCGUGAGAUGUUGGGUUAAGUCCCGCAACGAGCGCAACCCCUAUAGUUAGUUGCCAUCAUUAAGUUGGGCACUCUAGCAAGACUGCCGGUGACAAACCGGAGGAAGGUGGGGAUGACGUCAAAUCAUCAUGCCCCUUAUGUCUUGGGCUACACACGUGCUACAAUGGUUGGUACAGAGGGCAGCGAAGGAGUGAUCUGGAGCGAAUCCCAAAAAGCCAAUCUCAGUUCGGAUUGUAGGCUGCAACUCGCCUACAUGAAGUCGGAAUCGCUAGUAAUCGCAGGUCAGCAUACUGCGGUGAAUACGUUCCCGGGCCUUGUACACACCGCCCGUCACACCACGAAAGUUGGUAACACCCGAAGUCGGUGGUCUGACCCGUAAGGGAGGAAGCCGCCCACGGUGGGAUCGAUGAUUGGGGUGAAGUCGUAACAAGGUAGCCGUAAGCUUCAC
rnacentral:rRNA from 1 species